rnacentral:misc_RNA from 1 species
GAUGAAGAACGUAGUGAAAUGCGAUAAGUAAUGCGAAUUGCAGAAUUCAGUGAGUCAUCGAAUCUUUGAACGCACAUUGCGCCCUGUGGUAUUCCGCAGGGCAUGCCUGUUCGAGCGUCAUUUCAACCCUCAAGCCCCGCUUGGUGUUGGGCCCCGCCCGCCGUGGCCGGCCCUAAAGACAGUGGCGGCGCCGCCUGGCCCUCAGCGUAGUACAGCUCUCGCUCCAGGGUCCGGCGGCCGCCUGCCAGAACCCCCCAACUCUGUGGUUGACCUCGGAUCAGGUAGGGAUACCCGCUGAACUUAAGCAUAUCAAUAAGCGGAGGA